rnacentral:lncRNA from 1 species
CUUUUCUCCUGUCACAUAGAUGCACUGCUAUUGGUUGGGAAACCUGUAACCUGAAAUGCAAUAUGGACGGCCUGCAUUUUUAUAGAAAAUUAUCUAGACCCAAGACCAUAGCUCAGAUAUCAUGCUUUUUCUUCAACGCUUUUCCAUUGUUUCGUGGUUUCUCAAUUGAGUAUCAAGUUAAGAUUUUUGGUCCACUUGGCAAUUAUAUGUAUGAUUGUUCCUUUCCUAGUUCCAUGAGAGCACUUUUCUUUUAAAACCUAAGUAGCAAUAUUGCAGAAGAAAAAUGGACAGAAAUCAAUUGUUACAAUUAUCCAAUACUUGCUUUUAAAUUUUACAACAGAAAGACGAUGUGUACCCCUGUACCACCCACAAGCAUCUCUCCCUGUGUGACCACAUUUGAGCAUUUGAGGAAGCUGCUCAGGACUUCCUCCCGAGUCACCUGUCAGGUGGGCUUUGGACAGUGGCUGCAGGUUUUCUGGUUGCCCAUGCUCCAUCCCAAGGAAACAUACCAAUUCUCACUCCUAUGAAGAAAUGCAAGCUUGAUUUACAGAAAUGAACCCAACCUGGGCCCUUAGGCGGAAAGAAAAAAAAAACAUACAACUUCUGUUCUUAUUUCUCCUUUUGAUAAUAAGAGGCCUUGGGGAGAGCAGAGCAUCAAACAAUCAUUUAUUCCCAGGCCUGGUGUCUGCAGCACUUUUUGACCUCCCACAGGGACAGACUACCAUAGUGAGUGAUAAAUACUGCAGGUCCUUGCCCUGGGGGAUCAUGUUUGAAGCUGAACUUGGAGUUCAAACCCUGUGAAACUGGGCUCAGGGUAGGGUUUUCUACAGUCGUUUCUGGGCACUGGAUGCCCUGCUUGCUAC